rfam:Lepisosteus oculatus unplaced genomic scaffold TNK398, whole genome shotgun sequence.
GGGCCAGUAGCGCAAUGGAUAACACGUCUGGCUUCGAAUCAGAAGAUUGUAGGUUCGAUUCCUGCCUGGCUCG